ensembl:lncRNA
AUGCAGAGAUGUAUAGUAACGAAGUAGAACUACUUCACUACUGUACUUAAGUACUAAAAGGCGGUACCUGUACUUUACUAGAGUAUUAUUUUUUUCUCCUACUUCCACUUUUACUUCAGUAAAUAUUUUCAAUGAGUUUAAUACUUUUACUCCGAUAUUUUUUUAUGUGCUGCAUCGUUACUCGUUACAAUUAUAAAAAUGUUACGAAUCAUUCCAUUCCAAACCCACAUUACCACUGCCAGAACGGUAGAUGGCAGGUUUGAUGAAGCUGGCACAUUAUUGAGCGAAUCAAGCGAUUAAGAAGACUUCGCGUGCUCCCAUUCUGCCUUUUGAUCAGCUAAAAAGAUGGACGAACCAAAAACACCACCUUCCACCCCUUCAACUUCAAGUGAUCGUGGUGUUUUAUAGGUUAAUGGUAGUAUAGAUUGACACUGACAUUAGUAAUGCAGGAGUUUUCCUGCAUUGAAAUGUUUUUGGCGGCCGCCAAAGCCGUAUUUGUUCGGUGAGUGAUGUAGAAUAGAAUGACUGCUGCGCUUGUCAGGGCGCAUAUAAGAACGAGCAGCGAGAGAGAGAGAGAGCGCGCGCGCAUUCACCGUCAUAAAACAACACGAGCGCUGUCUUGCUCUCAAAUUGCUCUCUAUUUGUUUACAUAGUUAAUAAUAUUACUAAUAUUAACAAAGAUUAAUAAAUACAGUAACAAAUGUAUUGAUCAUGGUUAGUUAUUAGUCUAAUACAUUAACUAAUGUAAUGUUAACAAAUCAAACUAUAUUGUAAAGUGUUACAAACAAAUAAUUUACUCAGAACACCUCUUGAAAUGAGAAUAUAAGUGUGCUUACCCCAUUUUUUACAGUACCGCUCAAAAAUUGGGGAUUACUUUGAAUUUUUUUUUUUUUUUAUAUAUGGAAACACACAUGAGCUUGUCCUGUAUAUAAGAUAUUGCAAACAUACCUAUAAACAGGGCAUUAUGAUGUUAGAGUGAGAAAUGAUGUGGUAUGGGAGCCUGCUUUAUGCAUACCAGUUUAAGAAGGGAAUAAGCUGUGGAGAAAAAAAAGCACAAGGAGGGAAGAGAGGGUAGAGAUGCUUUAAAGGGGAAGGGGCAUAUUUGAUCUGUUUUUGUUUACAAAUAUUUAAGCUCAGUGUUUUAAGGUGCUCUAAUCACUUUUGUUUUUACAUAAGAAAUACUUGAAUGUGGCCUACUGGCUUUUGAGAUCUUUUAGUUGCCCUAACAAGUUGAGGGUGAAAAGAAAAUGUGUAACUUCCAAAAAUGACUGCUUUAUGCACACUAGUUUAAGAAGGAAAUAAGUUGUGGAGAAAAAAAAACAAGCAGGGAAGAGAAGGGAGGGAUGCUUUAAAGGGGGAAGGGACAUACUUAAUCUGUUUUUUGUUUACAAAAAGUUACAGUCAAAGGAAUUGUGAUUGUCCUUUAGGUUAAUCAUUUGAAAUAAUAAAAACAAUAUGUUCAAACUUUUGACUACUUUCUUUAAUAACUACAUAACACAAUACUUGUACUUUUACUUUCAGUACUUGAGUAGUAAAUUUUAAAAUAGACUACUUGCAAUACUUAAGUACAAAAAAUGUUGAAUACUUUAGUACUUCUACUUAAGUGUGGUGCUUAAAGAGCACUUCAACUUCUACUCAAGUCACUUUUUUGAUAGAGCACUUGUACUUUUACUCAAGUCUGGUUCUCUAGUACUUUAUACAUCUCUGAUUAUAUGU